CAAAUUCCGUUUGGUGCGUCCCACAUAUUGCGGUUUAAAAUAUGUGGGACGCACCAAACGGAAUUUG